AUCGAUGAAGAACGCAGCGAAAUGCGAUAAGUAAUGUGAAUUGCAGAAUUCAGUGAAUCAUCGAAUCUUUGAACGCACAUUGCGCCCUUUGGUAUUCCGAAGGGCAUGCCUGUUCGAGCGUCAUUACAACCCUCAAGCUCUGCUUGGUAUUGGGCCUCGCUAGCAAUAGCGUGCCUUAAAAUCAGUGGCGGUGCCGUCUGGCUCUAAGCGUAGUAAUUCUUCUCGCUAUGGAUGUCAGAUGGAUACUUGCCAUCAACCCCCAAUUUUUAAAGGUUGACCUCGGAUCAGGUAGGGAUACCCGCUGAACUUAAGCAUAUCAAUAAGCGGAGGAAAAGAAACCAACAGGGAUUACCUCAGUAACGGCGAGUGAAGCGGUAACAGCUCAAAUUUGAAAUCUGCCAACAGGCCGAGUUGUAAUUUGUAGAAGAUGCUUCGGGUGUGGCUCCGGUCUAAGUUCCUUGGAACAGGACGUCAUAGAGGGUGAGAAUCCCGUAUGUGACUGGAUGCCUAUGCUCAUGUGAAGCUCUUUCGACGAGUCGAGUUGUUUGGGAAUGCAGCUCAAAAUGGGUGGUAUAUUUCAUCUAAAGCUAAAUAUUGGCCAGAGACCGAUAGCGCACAAGUAGAGUGAUCGAAAGAUGAAAAGCACUUUGGAAAGAGAGUUAAACAGUACGUGAAAUUGUUGAAAGGGAAGCGCUUGCAACCAGACUUGCACGUUGUCGAUCAUCCGAUGUUCUCACCGGUGCACUCGAUUUCGUUCAGGCCAGCAUCGGUUUUGGUGGUUAGAUAAAGACCUUAGGAAUGUGGCUCUUUCGGGAGUGUUAUAGCCUAGGGUGUAAUGUAGCCUACUGGGACCGAGGACCGCGCUUCGGCUAGGAUGCUGGCGUAAUGGUUGUAAGCGACCCGUCUUGAAACACGG
rnacentral:rRNA from 2 species